CCUCCGACUAUGCAGAAGAACAUCUUUAUCUAGGUGUAUGCAUGACUUUGGUUAAACUUGGAAGAGAGAGGUGAAGCUAAACUUUCCACAGAAGAUUGGGAAGGUGCGAUUAUCUAAAAGAGGCUGUCCAGAAGCCACCACAGGUGAAUUUCGUGCAAUAUUGCUUUGCUGUUCUGAAUAUAUGAUCAUGAAAGCUGAAAGGCAGCGUACAAUAGGCUGGUGCUGCAGUGGCACCGAGAUAAAAACCAGGAGAACUGAAGUGGAAGCAGAAAACAUGUUUGAGAGAUCGUGUUGCAUACGAGGCAUGAGUCAGUAUAAAAAGAAACAUAUUUGAAGAAACAUAAAUGCAACAAGUGCUUUACUUAAAUGUCUCUUUUUCAAAUUAUGUGAAUGAACAAUGCGUGUGCAAGUGCUCAGUGACGAAGACAGUGCCAAGGACAGGAUCUAGAUGAGAAUAUGAGAUGGGUGGAGUAGGUGUUGGCGGCGGAUUCAUUUAUUCUUCUUUUUUAUACUAAAGCGAUCUUGCUGCGCGCUUGGGAACAAGGUUGAUUUGUUGCUCCACUCCUUGGCUCUUCAUAUCGGCUCUUUAUUUGUGAUCAGUAAAAUGUAUACUGCUGAAGAACAUCGGACGAAACAUAUUGUGUUAUUGCAGGCUGAUCAGAUGGGCUUCCACAAUAAGGAUGGCAAUUAUCCUAAGAAGAGAAAGCUCCUAGCCGAUGUUGGCGACAUGGCCUCUAUCCGCAAGUUCCAAAUCUUGGCUAUACUAAGCAAGAAGCCGCUGGCCGGAAAUAAGGGAGGUUAGUUCCAUGCAUGUUUAGUGACUUACAACCGUCUAUGAAAUGUAUCUUAAUAGGAUCAUUUGCUGGUUCUCUACUAUAUCCUGUACUUUUUUUUCGUUGUAAAUGCUCAUGUGGAUCUUCCUUUCUCU